rnacentral:rRNA from 1 species
UACAGAGGGGGCAAGCGUUAUUCGGAAUUAUUGGGCGUAAAGGGCGCGUAGGCGGCUUUGCAAGUGACGGGUGAAAUCCCUCGGCUUAACCGAGGAACUGCCUGUCAAACUGCAUGGCUUGAGACCGGGAGAGGUGAGUGGAAUUCCCAGUGUAGCGGUGAAAUGCGUAGAUAUCUGGAGGAACACCGGUGGCGAAGGCGGCAUCCUGGACCGACACUGACACUGAGGAGCGAAAGCCAGGGGAGCAAACGGG